GGGUGCGUGGUUCAAUGGUAGAAUACCUGCCUCCAGAGCAGAAGACGGGGGUUCGAUUCCCUCCGCGCCCA
rnacentral:tRNA from 1 species